GCCUGUUGCACAAAAGUAGAAUUAAGACAUCCGGGAUAAAUGACUCAGCUGAGCUCAAUGAAGCCAAAACAUGUGCGUCCAGGCUUAAUUGGUUGCACAAAGACCAAGCCAGGAUGAGCAGACACGGAUUCAUUAAGCCAGGUGAAACCAAUCCUGGAUAGGUGCGCGCUCACGGCUCACUCAAAUAGACCCCGCCACAGAUCACAGAUUAACUGAUUUACCAUGGCAACUAGAGCCGCGUACUUUUCCCCGUCGGAAACACAAAUCCUCAUGGAGGCAUACGAGGAGGUAAAAGAUAUAAUUAAGAAGAAAGGCAACACCGCCACAGUGAUAAAGCAAAGAGAAAAAGCGUGGCAAAGUAUUGCAGACCGCCUGAAUGCGUAAGUAGUGCACAAUUACACACUCACCGCUCCGCUGAAACAUCACAAUUACAAUUCAAAUAUUUAAUUCACAUCUCCAAAAAUGCAGUUGUACUGUAAUUAUGAAACGGUUAAAUUUUUAAUUGAAAUGCACUGCAGAUAUGAGUGAAAUUGUGUAAAGUAACUCCAUCACACUGUAUAAAGCUAUGAUACAUUUUUUGAUAUUUUUACUGAAAACAAGACAAAAAUACCAAGUAAUUUUUUGCAGUGUGACUCCAUUAAAUGUGUGUGUGUGUGUGUGUGUGUAGAUUAAACAUGAACGGGCCAAAACGGACAUGGCAGCAGGUCAAAAUCAAAUACAAGAACAUUCUGCAGAAUGCAGUGAAAAAGAAUACCCACAGACAAGGCACGGGUGGUGGGUCACCAAAGGCUGACCUUACCCCAGCAGAGGACAUGGCCUUGGAGCUAAAUAAAGGCAGGCCUGUCUUAGAGGGGAUCCCUGGGGGGAAAGAGACGAGCAUAGGUUCCUCCCAAGAUGCCACCCGCUUCAUUCAAGUGUCUGGCAGCACUGUGUUCCUGUUAGAGCCACCAGCACAAGCACCAGACGAUGCUGAUCCAG